UGCGCAGGCGGAAUGAUAAGUCAGUGGUGAAAUCCUACAGCUCAACUGUAGAACUGCCAUUGAUACUGUCGUUCUUGAGUACACUUGGAGUGGGCGGAAUGUGUCAUGUAGCGGUGAAAUGCUUAGAUAUGACACAGAACACCGAUCGCGAAGGCAGCUCACUAAAUUGUAACUGACGCUCAGGCACGAAAGCGUGGGGAUCAAACA
rnacentral:rRNA from 1 species